GAGAAUGAGGGGGCACUCCCUAGUAAUUGGUGGCGGACGGGGUGCGUAACACGUAGGUAAUCUACCUUCCGGCGGGGGACAACAGUCCGAAAGGAUUGCUAAUACCGCAUACGUCGGCGAGAUCUCCGGAUCUUGUCGGGAAAGACGGCCUCUCCUUGGAAGCUGUCACCGGAUGAUGAACCUGCGGCCCAUCAGCUCAGUUGGCGAGGUAACGGCUCACCAAGGCGAAGACGGGUCAGCUGGUCUGAGAGGAUGAUCAGCCACACUGGGACUGCGACACGGCCCAGACUCCUACGGGAGGCAGCAGUGGGGAAUAUUGGGCAAUGGGCGAAAGCCUGACCCAGCCACGUCGCGUGAGUGAUGAAGGCCUUCGGGUCGUCAAAGCUCUGUGGGGAGGGACGAAUAAGACUGGUAUCAAUACUACCGGGCCCUGACAGGUACCUCCUUAGCAAGCAACGGUAACCAUGUGCAGCAGCCGGGGAUAAUACAUGGGGGUGCAAAACGGUUU
rnacentral:rRNA from 1 species